UCGAGAAUCUUGGGCAAUGCACGAAAGUGUGACCCAGCGACGCCGCGUGAAGGAUGAAGGCCCUCUGGGUCGUAAACUUCUUUUAAGGGGGAAGAAUAAAUGACGGUACCCCUUGAAUAAGCCACGGCUAACUACGUGCCAGCAGCCGCGGUAAUACGUAGGUGGCAAGCGUUGUCCGGAUUUACUGGGCGUAAAGCGUAUGCAGGCGGAUUGUUAAGUAGGAAGUGAAAGGUUGGAGCUCAACUCUAACACUGCUCCCUAUACUGGCAGUCUUGAGUGGCGGAGAGGAAGAUGGAACGACACGUGUAGCGGUGAAAUGCGUUGAUAUGUGUCGGAACACCAAUGGCGAAAGCAAUCUUCUGGACGCAAACUGACGCUGAGAUACGAAAGCCAAGGUAGCAAACA
rnacentral:rRNA from 1 species